UUUUUAUUUACAUGUGGCCCACUGUGUCAUGGUAUUAAUAUCUGUUAUAACUUAAUUAUUUACACCGGUCGUGCACGUUUUAGCUUUCUAGUUCCUAUACCGUCAUAAUCAUGUCAAUUAUGUUUGUCAGUCUUUUAAUUUCAAAUGUAUUAUUACCGUAAAGAAGGGGGGGGAGUAAGAUUUGUCUAGUAUAAUCAUACCCCUCCCCCUCCCCUUUCGGUAACAUUAUCCGGG